rnacentral:snoRNA from 2 species
GCCCUCUAAGGGUCGCACCUGGAGAGUUUCCAGUAUUCUAACGGUCACGACUACUGGAGGGAGAGUCGAGCAGAGGCCUGUCCAUUCCAUCCCUAGCUUGGGUAGUGGCUAGCGAGUGGAAGGCCAUCUGCUACAAGU